AGCAGUCGCCGCGGUAAUACGUAGGUGGCAAGCGUUGUCCGGAAUUAUUGGGCGUAAAGCGCGCGCAGGUGGUUAAUAAGUCCGAUGUGAAAGCCCACGGCUCAACCGUGGAGGGUCAUUGGAAACUGUUAAACUUGAGUGCAGGAGAGAAAAGUGGAAUUCCUAGUGUAGCGGUGAAAUGCGUAGAGAUUAGGAGGAACACCAGUGGCGAAGGCGGCUUUUUGGCCUGUAACUGACACUGAGGCGCGAAAGCGUGGGGAGCAAACAGGAUUAGAUACCCCAGUAGUCCCUGUCUCUUAUACA
rnacentral:rRNA from 1 species